rnacentral:tRNA from 1 species
GCCACGGUGGUCUAGCGGUCAGAACACUAGCCUUGUAAGCCUCGGGUCCCGGGUUCAAUUCCCGGUGGUGCUC